UAGACUAUACGUUCAAGGAUCACUUCUAUAGUUUGUGACAUGAGAAAUGCGUUUCGAAAGCGUUUGGUCUAUUCAGCCACGAGGAGAAUCCAUAGUGUCUCCUCCUGAGCACGAAGCAGGUCAGGGGUGUUGCUUCACGGCAGCUGCUCCCAACCACUGAUGACUGCUCCUCUCUCUCGCAGGCUGAGCAGGAGGGAGACGCAUUCUGAGAGGG
ensembl:snoRNA U3 Small nucleolar RNA U3